UGUUAAGUUAGUGGCGGACGGGUGAGUAACGCGUGGGUAACCUGUCGUAUACCGGGGGAUAACACCUGGAAACAGGUGCUAAUACCGCAUAAGCGCACGGGACCGCAUGGUCCAGUGUGAAAAACCGAGGUGGUAUGCGAUGGACCCGCGUCUGAUUAGCCAGUUGGCAGGGUAACGGCCUACCAAAGCGACGAUCAGUAGCCGGCCUGAGAGGGUGGACGGCCACAUUGGGACUGAGACACGGCCCAAACUCCUACGGAAGGCAGCAG
rnacentral:rRNA from 1 species